CCUACGGGAGGCAGCAGUGGGGGAUUUUGCACAAUGGGGGGAACCCUGAUGCAGCGACGCCGCGUGGGUGAAGGAGUGCUUCGGCACGUAAAGCCCUAUCGGCAGGGAAGAAGCAAGACGGUACCUGACUAACAAGCUCCGGCUAACUACGUGCCAGCAGCCGCGGCAAUACGUAGGGGGCGAGCGUUGUCCGGAUUCACUGGGCGUAAAGGGAGCGGAGACGGCCAAGGAAGCCAGAGGUGAAAGCCCGGGGCCCAACCCCGGGACUGCACUUGGAACUGCAUGGCUGGAGUGCGGGAGGGGAAGGCGGAAUUCCAGGUGUAGCGGUGGAAUGCGUAGAUAUCAGGAGGAACACCGGCGGCGAAGGCAGCCUGCUGGACCGCGACUGACGUUGAGGCUCGAAAGCGUGGGGAGCGAACAGGAUUAGAUACCCUAGUAGUC
rnacentral:rRNA from 1 species